rnacentral:tRNA from 1 species
AGAGUAGUAAUUUAAAUUAAAAUAUUUGUUUUGCAUACAAAAAUUACUUUAUGAGUCUACUUUU